rnacentral:rRNA from 1 species
AGUGAACGCUGGCGGUAGGCCUAACGCAUGCAAGUCGAACGGCAGCACAGUAAGAGCUUGCUCUUACGGGUGGCGAGUGGCGGACGGGUGAGGAAUACAUCGGAAUCUACUUUUUCGUGGGGGAUAACGUAGGGAAACCUACGCUAAUACCGCAUACGACCUACGGGUGAAAGCAGGGGAUCUUCGGACCUUGCGCGAUUGAAUGAGCCGAUGUCGGAUUAGCUAGUUGGCGGGGUAAAGGCCCACCAAGGCGACGAUCCGUAGCUGGUCUGAGAGGAUGAUCAGCCACACUGGAACUGAGACACGGUCCAGACUCCUACGGGAGGCAGCAGUGGGGAAUAUUGGACAAUGGGCGCAAGCCUGAUCCAGCCAUACCGCGUGCGUGAAGAAGGCCUUCGGGUUGUAAAGCCCUUUUGUUGGGAAAGAAAAGCAGCAGGUUAAUACCCCGCUGUUCUGACGGUACCCAAAGAAUAAGCACCGGCUAACUUCGUG